CGAUCCACUCUCCCCCUCUCGUCCCACAGCCGCCACCCCCAACCCUCUCGAUCCCCAACCAACCAGCCGCCGCCGCCGCCGUCCUCCGUCCUCUCCCCCAACCCCGGCCGCCGGCAAUCCCUCCCCUCCCCUUCUCUCCCACGGCCGCGGUCGGAUCCGCGCUCCCUCCUCGCUCAUGACCUAGACCUAGCCGCAUGGCCCGGCCAUGGGCAUAGCGGCGGCCAGAUCCACCCCCCUCCCCCUCCCUCGCACCUCGAUCCGCUGUCACCCCCACCGUUGACGACCCGCGACAGCAGCAGUGGGCUCGCGAGCCAGAUCAUAAGGACGUCCCUUUCCUCCCGAUCUCAUCGUGCUCCUCUCGAUCCCGUCCACUUCCUCCCCACAGCGGAGCCUCAGUUUUGACCGCGUCUCGCUGCUGCGUGCAGAAGUCCGGGAGGCAUGGGGCCGGGGGCGUGCGCCAGAUCUACGCCGACGGCCUGGGCACCAUGGUGGAAGGCGAGGUCUUCACCACGGUGGAAGGAGGGCAUCCAGGCCUGCCUCCAGUGCAAACCGUGUACAAGCAUCACCUGGGCGUGAGCAGACCAGUUCCACGCCAACAAGAUGAACCUGGGCGAUGCUGACGCAGUACGACAUCGAGGAGGUGCAGGAGCACUGCAACUACCUAUGUACUCUUCUGUUGAUGAACUUCCUCCACACCUGCAGUGACAAGAAAACGCUGAAGAAGUGGUUCUUCAUCGACAAGACUGUGGGCUAAGAAAAUCCAGCCGAAAGAGAGACGACCACCGUACCUGCCUGAGAAAGAUCCUGCCUACAGUGCAUGGAUGGUCCGCCGCCACGGCCGCCACGCUACAGCCAGGCCACCCAACACACAUCGAACUACCGCUGCUCCUCCUUGUCUCGUCUGUCUUCUUGCCCGGGAAGAAAGGAAGCGCCGGAGACCAGCCACUAAUGGCGGUGCCGCUGGAGUUCCCAGCGGAAGCUCCGGCAUCAGCACCAACGCACCCUCAACCUCCUCGCCCUCGGAUUCGGGCUCUACGAGCUUGGAUUCCCAAGUGUUGCGAAAUGCAUCGAGAUCGGUCUUCCAGAGAUCAUACUGCUGGUGGCUCUUUCCCAGGAUGGGAGGUGGAUGCCCGCACGGAUCUGGCGUCUCCGACCUCGGCAUCCACAAGGAGGAGCGGCGACAACCCCGGACCCGUCCGCUGGUGCUGCUGAUCCAGCUUGGACGGACAUGUUGCCUCUUCCACGUCGGCUACAUGACAGCCAUGCUCGCCAGAAGAAGGCUGUGAAGAUCUUCCCCUGCCCUACCUCUGGACCUCUUCGCCCCAUCGUGCAAUGCCAGACCCGCAAGUACGACACUAAGGCAAGGGCUGGCAGAGGCUUUACCCUUGAGGAGCUUAAGGAGUUCUGGGCUGAAGACAUUCGAAGAAGCUCGAAGCCCCAGUCAACAACUUGCUUUAUAUAUUACUGAAUUUGUAAUGCUAAUAUUCUUGAGAAAUUCGAUGUACUGCUGAACAUGCUGGGAAUUUGAUGUAUAUUUGCUCGCUGAACUUGAUGUAUACUUGCUCGCUGAACUCAGAAUAUUAUUUUUUAUUCACUUGAAAUUCAUUCCUUGACUAAAAGUGGCCAGAAAAAUAAAUAUAUAGCCCAAGAGAAAAAUGGCCGAAAUGCCUAUUGGACCAAAUCUAUUCGUG